UAAAACGAGAGCUUGGUGAUGGCUCUGAAUAAACACUGUCUAAAUGCAUGACACAUGCUAAUCGAACGUUUAAUUAAAUUUAAAUUUAAUUAAAAGUGGUGAACAGGUGAGGAUUUGAUAUCAACCUACCUUAAAGCAAGGGAAAAUAAAUCCCUUAUAUUAACAAAGGCAAAAACCGCUUUAAGAAGAACCGAUAAUACUUAGAGAUAGGUAGUUGUUAAGGUAAUGGCUUAACAAGCUUAAAAUUCUCUUAGUCGUAACUGAAAGGUUGAUCGACCACAUUGGGGCUGAAAAAACCCCAAAACAACAAUGGUACAGCAGUGGGGAAUAUUGGUCAAUGGCCUAACGGCUGAACUGGCAAUUUAGAAGAAUAACCUAAUUUACUAAGCAAUAGUAAAUAUUAAAGUGAAAUGGUUAAAUCGUACAAUCGAAUAAAAUUCGGGAAUAUAUUCAUUAUAAUGACUAAAUAUAUUCUUUAGCCUCGACUAAUUACGUGCCAGCAGUCGCGGUCAUACGUAUGAGGUAAGUGUUAUUCAUUACAAAUAGGUUUAAAGGGUAAUCAAACGGAAAAGAUUCCCCUAUAAAUGGGACAAUCUUUAUCUAGAGUUUAAUGUAAGAAGGUAGUACUUUUGGAGUAGGUCUUAAAUCCGUUGAUACUUAAGGGACUGGUAAAAGCGUAAGCAACCUUUUAUGUAAAAACUGACGUUGAAGAACGAAGGCUUAGGUCACGAAUAGGAUUAGUUUCCCUAGUAGUCUUAGCAGUCAAUGCUGAAUGCUUUAGGUUAGGUUAUACUUAGCCUAAGAAUGAAAAUGUAAGCGUUUCACCUCAAGAGUAAUGUGGCAACGCAGAAACUGAAAUCACUAGACCGUUUCUGACACCAGUAGUGAAGUAUGUUGUUUAAUUCGAUGAUCCACGAAAAAUCUUACCACAAUUAGAAUUAUAUUUAUAUAAUGGAGUGCUGCACGGCUGUUUUCAGUUAAUGUUGCGAAACUAUGGCUUUGACCAUUAAAUUAACGUAAACCUUUGCUUUAUUUAUUUAAUAUUUUUAUAAAGCAUCUUUUAUUAGUUAUAAUUAAUUGAUAAAGGUAAAAAGGCUUAAUACAAGUACUCAUGGCCUUCAUGUUGUGGGCUAAAGACGUGCCACAUAUACCUAGACAAAGAGAUGCAAAAAUGAGAAUUGGAGCUAAUCUCAAAAAUAGGAUAAAAUAGAUAUGGAUUGUAGUCUGAAACUCGACUAUAUGAAUAAGAAAUUACUAGUAAUCGUGAAUCAUCGCGUCACGGUGAAUAGCGCUCGGAUUGGUACUAACAACUCGUCGCAUGCCGAAAAAAGUACUGUGCAGUAAGUUUGCUUUCUUGAUUGUAACUAAGUAAAUAAUAGGUUUUAGAUGUUACAAUUGGAUUCUUCGUAUGUGCAUCUUUGAUCGGUGUUAAGUCGAAAUACGGUUCGUGUGGCGGAAGUUACACGGGGUUAUUGAUAUAA
rnacentral:rRNA from 1 species